rnacentral:miRNA from 1 species
UGUGUGUGUGUGUUUGUGUGUAUAUGUGUGUGUGUGUGUAUAUAAUUGUACCCUCUAAAAUGGUUACAAAAAAAGAAUAUAUAUAUAUAUAUAUAUACAUAUACAAACACAUACAAGGAGUGGGCCAUACACACACACACACACACACACACACACACACA